rnacentral:rRNA from 1 species
UACGAGGGGGGCGAGCGUUGUUCGGAAUUACUGGGCGUAAAGCGCGUGUAGGCGGCAACGCAAGUCGGGCGUGAAAUCCCACGGCUCAACCGUGGAAGUGCACUCGAAACUGCGUAGCUAGAGUCCUGGAGAGGAAGGUGGAAUGCUUGGUGUAGAGGUGAAAUUCGUAGAUAUCAAGCGGAACACCGGUGGCGAAGGCGGCCUUCUGGACAGUGACUGACGCUGAGACGCGAAAGCGUGGGGAGCAAACAGG